rnacentral:rRNA from 1 species
CGUGAAAUUCCGUCGGAAUCUGGGAGGACCAUCUCCUAAGGCUAAAUACUCUCUAGUGACCGAUAGUGAACCAGUACCGUGAGGGAAAGGUGAAAAGCACCCCGGAAGGGGAGUGAAAUAGAACCUGAAACCGUGUGCUUACAAGUAGUCAGAGCCCGUUAAUGGGUGAUGGCGUGCCUUUUGUAGAAUGAACCGGCGAGUUACGAUUUGAUGCAAGGUUAAGCAGUAAAUGUGGAGCCGUAGCGAAAGCGAGUCUGAAUAGGGCGUUUAGUAUUUGGUCGUAGACCCGAAACCAGGUGAUCUACCCUUGGUCAGGUUGAAGUUCAGGUAACACUGAAUGGAGGACCGAACCGACUUACGUUGAAAAGUGAGCGGAUGAACUGAGGGUAGCGGAGAAAUUCCAAUCGAACCUGGAGAUAGCUGGUUCUCUCCGAAAUAGCUUUAGGGCUAGCCUCAAGUGAUGAUUAUUGGAGGUAGAGCACUGUUUGGACGAGGGGCCCCUCUCGGGUUACCGAAUUCAGACAAACUCCGAAUGCCAAUUAAUUUAACUUGGGAGUCAGAACAUGGGUGAUAAGGUCCGUGUUCGAAAGGGAAACAGCCCAGACCACCAGCUAAGGUCCCAAAAUAUAUGUUAAGUGGAAAAGGAUGUGGCGUUGCCCAGACAACUAGGAUGUUGGCUUAGAAGCAGCCAUCAUUUAAAGAGUGCGUAAUAGCUCACUAGUCGAGUGACACUGCGCCGAAAAUGUACCGGGGCUAAACAUAUUACCGAAGCUGUGGAUUGUCCUUUGGACAAUGGUAGGAGAGCGUUCUAAGGGCGUUGAAGCAUGAUCGUAAGGACAUGUGGAGCGCUUAGAAGUGAGAAUGCCGGUGUGAGUAGCGAAAGACGGGUGAGAAUCCCGUCCACCGAUUGACUAAGGUUUCCAGAGGAAGGCUCGUCCGCUCUGGGUUAGUCGGGUCCUAAGCUGAGGCCGACAGGCGUAGGCGAUGGAUAACAGGUUGAUAUUCCUGUACCACCUAUAAUCGUUUUAAUCGAUGGGGGGACGCAGUAGGAUAGGCGAAGCGUGCGAUUGGAUUGCACGUCUAAGCAGUAAGGCUGAGUAUUAGGCAAAUCCGGUACUCGUUAAGGCUGAGCUGUGAUGGGGAGAAGACAUUG